rnacentral:tRNA from 1 species
GGUAUGUAGCUCAAUGGUAGAGUCCUUGCUUAGCAUGCAUGAGGCUCUGGUUUAAUCCCCAGUAUUA